GUGAUGCAUGCAUUUUAUAUCAUCAUUUAGGAGUUAAAUCUGGAGAAAUUUGAUGUAUUUUGAUCAGAGUAGCCAUUUGGAGGAGAUUAAAAUCGAAUUGCAAAAAAAAAUUUUGAAGUUGAGAAAAAAAAAAAUGGCCGAGAGCGACACAACCCGCGACACAACUGACUCGGCUUAUGUCGUUUUUACUGGAAAAUAAUUGACGUGGCAUUUCCGUUACUCCAGCUUUUUACCUCACUUUCUCUAGAUCCUUCCCCCUUUUACCCAUUCUAGAACAAUCCCUUAGCCUAUAUAAAGACCCAUUUUAUCACUUUCUUGGGAUAUAGAGAGCAUAGAGAGCAUAGAGAGCAUAGAGAGCAAGGGAGGCAUUUUUAGAAAGAUAGAAAGAGGGAAAGGGAGGAGCAUCUUCUGCAUCUUCUUCCAGCAGCAGCAAGGAUCAAGUUUCUGCACUUUUCUGCAGAGAUCCUGCUGCAAAUUUGCUGGGUUUUCCUACCCCUUUUAGCUUACAUUUCCAUUAUUUCUUCAUUUCUUCAUUUGGGUUUGUCUUUAAACAAUGAUUUGUGAGUAGUUGAUUGAGAUUCUAGAGAUGGGUUUGUAAAUAUUGAUUUGUUUUGUGGUUUUGAACUGAUUUAGCCAUUUAAAUGAAGAUUGUUAUAUUUUGAUUUA